rnacentral:misc_RNA from 1 species
AAAACCCUUCCGGGCCCGCUCUUGCAGCGCGGCCGCGGGACCCUGGCGUGGGGAUGUCGACCGCCGCGCCUCCUCCGGGGGGUGCGGGCCAGGUUUCCCCCGCUUAAACGCGGAGAAAGCUAGCGGGCUGAUGGUCACGACCGCGAAGACUAGUAAGCAUCACGCACCUGUCAUCGACGGUCCGGCCGACGCCCCGCCUCCCAAACCACCAUGGGGGACACCUUCACCGGUGCCUUCCCACCUGAC